AAACGUAGGAGACGAGCGUUAUCCGGAUUUACUGGGCGUAAAGCGCGUGUAGGAGGCAAUACAAGUUGGAUGUAAAAUCUCCCGGCUUAACUGGGAGGCGUCGUUCAAGACUGUAUAGCUAGAGUAGUGGAGAGGUAAUCGGAACUCCGGGAGUAGCGGUGAAAUGCGUAGAUAUCCGGAAGAACACCAGAGGCGAAAGCGGAUUACUGGCCACCAACUGACGCUAAGACGCGAAAGCAAGGGUAGCAAACGGGAUUAGAGACCCCGGUAGUCCAGGCCGUAAACGAUGUAGACUAGUCGUUUGGGGUGUAAAGGCCCUGAGUGACUAAGCAAACGCGAUAAGUCUACCGCCUGGGGAGUACGGUCGCAAGAUUAAAACUCAAAGGAAUUGACGGGG
rnacentral:rRNA from 1 species